CGCAACUCGGCAGCGGAUGGCGGGGCUAGGCCUCCGGGUGGCAGCGCUUGCCGCAGUCUUCGUAGAUGACGUCCGUGCAGCGGCAGGAGGGCGGAUUCGACCUGGUGCAGAAGCAGCUCUUGCAGUUGCGGUGGCAGCCGCCCACCAACACGUCAUAGCACUGGCACUGCGGCGGCAUCGACCUGGUGCAUUUGCACAUGUCACAGCACGGCCAUGGCUUCUUCUUCCCUACCUCCAUUCCAU
rnacentral:lncRNA from 1 species